UACAGAGGAUGCAAGCGUUAUUCGGAAUUAUUGGGCGUAAAGGGCGCGUAGGCGGCCUGGCAAGUGGAAGGUGAAAUCCCUCGGCUUAACCGAGGAACUGCCCUCCAAACUGCUUGGCUUGAGUCCGGGAGAGGUGAGUGGAAUUCCCAGUGUAGCGGUGAAAUGCGUAGAUAUUGGGAGGAACACCAGUGGCGAAGGCGGCUCACUGGACCAUAACUGACGCUGAUGCACGAAAGCUAGGGGAGCAAACAGG
rnacentral:rRNA from 1 species